GGCUGAGAGAUCAACUGUUCCCUUCGGGGACAGAAUGACAGGUGGUGCAUGGUUGUCGUCAGCUCGUGUCGUGAGAUGUUGGGUUAAGUCCCGCAACGAGCGCAACCCUUAUGAUCAGUUGCCAGCAUUCAGUUGGGUACUCUGGUCAAAGUGCCGGUGACAAACCGGAGGAAGGCGGGGAUGACGUCAAAUCAUCAUGCCCCUUAUGACCUGGGCUACACACGUGCUACAAUGGGUGGUACAACAAGCAGCGAGACCGCGAGGUCAAGCGAAUCUCUAAAACCCAUCCUCAGUUCGGAUUGCAGGCUGCAACUCGCCUGCUUGAAGCUGGAAAUCGCUAGUAAUCGCGGAUCAGCACGCCGCGGUGAAUACGUUCCCGGGUCUUGUAACCACCAGAAUCGAAAUUCCC
rnacentral:rRNA from 1 species